GACGAACGCUGGCGGCGUGCCUAAUACAUGCAAGUCGAGCGGAACUGGGGGAGCUUGCUCCUUCCAGUUUAGCGGCGGACGGGUGAGUAACACGUGGGCAACCUGCCCUGCAGAUCGGGAUAACUCCGGGAAACCGGUGCUAAUACCGAAUAGUUUGGCGCCUCUCCUGAGGCGCUACGGAAAGACGGUUUCGGCUGUCACUGCAGGAUGGGCCCGCGGCGCAUUAGCUAGCUGGGGGGGUAACGGCCCACCAAGGCGACGAUGCGUAGCCGACCUGAGAGGGUGACCGGCCACACUGGGACUGAGACACGGCCCAGACUCCUACGGGAGGCAGCAGUAGGGAAUCUUCCGCAAUGGACGCAAGUCUGACGGAGCAACGCCGCGUGAGUGACGAAGGUUUUCGGAUCGUAAAACUCUGUUGUGAGGGAAGAACACGUACCAACUAACUAUUGGUACCUUGACGGUACCUCACCAGAAAGCCACGGCUAACUACGUGCCAGCCGCCGCCGUAA
rnacentral:rRNA from 1 species